rnacentral:rRNA from 1 species
ACGGGGUGCAGCAGGCGCGAAACCUCCGCAAUGUGAGAAAUCGCGACGGGGGGAUUCCAAGUGCCAUUCUUAACGGGAUGGCUUUUCAUUAGUGUAAAGAGCUUCUGGAAUAAGGGCUGGGCAAGACCGGUGCCAGCAGCCGCGGUAA